GGGACCCUUAAUGUGGCCAUGAAAGAGUAUUUUAUUCAGAUUCAAGUGCUGGAAAGUUGCGCAAGGCGGCCGUUGGCGUUCACUUCAGUGUGAUGAUAAACAGCUGAUUUUGAUUUUGAUUCUUGCAUGGUAACUCGAUUGUUCCUGACAGAAACAGUGCUAUAUAUCACAGGUGACAUUCUGAAGCUACCUGAAAUAUACGGAAAACAUUAUUGGUAGUGGAUAUUGUAAAUAAGUAGGAAACCUUGACAUUAUACUUUCUCAAAAUUAUGAAACCCAAGUUACUAGAGAGAGCUACCGGGAUGGACCCUCUCUUCCUUAACCUUGGACUGUCACAGCAGGCAGCAGCAGUGGCUCCAGCAUCUACUCCACCUGUGACGAAUCAAGUUAAUGGCCUGCCACAAGAGUCAAAACUAGCCACAUAUAUAAGUAAUCGUCAACAGCUGGCAACAUCAACACCACAGCAGGAGCAGCAGCAGCAACAACAACAACAAUCUCUCACCAAUAGUGUAGCUGCCUUGAGCCUUGAUGGUGUUGGUACAAGGAAAGUUAGUGUGCCAUCAGUGAGCAGCAUAGCAGAGUUUGUCCCAGGGUCAGGUGGAAGUGGGGGUCUUGCCCAUUCAUCUUCCACCCCAUCCUUCCACUCCUUCUCAGGCCUUGGCUCACCCAGCCUCUCCACUCCAUCCUCCUUGGGUUUUACUCCCAUGACACGGUCCUCGCCGGCAGCAACAGUAGCGUCCCCGCAGCGACCGAUAUCACCUCAGGACUCCCCUAGUAGAGGACGAAUUUCCCCGCAAAGUGGUGGCGGAGAGGAGAACAGCAAUGCUUCCAAUUUGUCCACCUACCAGGAAAAUGUAGGAGGAACAACUUAUUUUUUCACUGCCCAAGACCAGCCAUCUUUUGGAGCCACUGGUGCCACAGCAUCUCCUGCUCCAUUCACAACUGGUCCCCAGCCAACUUUGGUGUUCCCACCUUAUCAUAUUUUGCCGCCCACACCUGCCCAUGUCCACCACUUAAGGGCACCCAACAAUACUCCACACUUCUUCAUGGGUGAUGAUUUGCGGCAUGAAAUAUUAGAAAGGCAUGCAUUGGCUUUGGCACAUGUUGACCCAGAACAGUUCCCUGAUUUGCCACAGGAGAUUGAUAUGUACCAUGAGCUGGUGCCAUUGGAACCUCAACAUGGUGUAAACAAAUCCUCAAUAUUUGGUUAUGCCACCUCUGUGUAUAAGGCAACCAACAUCAAGACUGGUCUACAUUACUGCCUUUAUCGUAUACAUGGAUACCGGCUAAGCAACGUAAAGGUCACUCAGCUAGUAGAUCUGUGGAAAAAAUUGCAACAUUCCAGUGUGACUCAGUUGAGAGAAGUCUUCACCACCAAGGCCUUCAAUGACAAUUCCAUUGUGUUCGUUUAUGACUAUCAUGCUGGAGCAGAGACUCUGGCUGCCCGACACUUCUCCUCUGCGAAUGCCCUAACUGCAAAUGGAUGGGAAGGAAUAGCCAGCUCUCCUGGGGGAAAUGGGGGUAGCACCUCUCAUGACCCCCCUACACGGGGUAUUCACAAAAGCCACCAGCAUAAUUCAGGCAGUAGUCUUCUGCCUGAAUCUACUUUAUGGAACUACAUCAUCCAGCUGACGGGGGCCUUGCGGACGAUUCACACACAGGGUCUUGCUUGCCGUACAUUAGACCCCACAAAAAUCCUCCUCACAGACAACAAGGCGAGAAUUAGGGUCAAUUGCUGUGGAAUUCAUGAUGUGCUGAAUUUUGAUCCCAAUGCUGCCAAAUCCCUUGCUAACAUGCCACAGUAUCAGCAAGAAGACUUGGUAAAUUUGGGUAAGCUUAUGGUAGCCCUCGCAUGCAAUUCGGUGCUAGCCUUACAACGAGACAAUAUCCAAACUGCCCUUGAGCUAAUCAAUCGCUCCUAUUCACGUGACUUAGCGAUGCUGGUGGUCUGUCUUCUAACCUCUCAGCGCAUCAAGAGUAUAAAUGAUGUUAUGCCAAUGAUAGGAGCAAGAAACAGCCACACAGAGAGCUGACACAUAUGAAUCUGAGAUCUCAAAAGAAGUUCACAACGGGCGGCUUUUCCGUCUCCUUACGAAGCUAAACACCAUUGUUGAUCGACCACAACUCCACCUUGAUACAUCUUGGAGUGAAACAGGAGACCGAUACAUGCUGAAGCUCUUCAGAGAUUAUGUGUUUCAUCAG
rnacentral:misc_RNA from 1 species